GGCCCAUUAGUCUAGGGGUCUAUGACGUUGGAUUUUGAUUACAUAAUCAACCCACCUUCCAAAGACAUCAGUUCGAAUCUGAUAUGGGCCU
rnacentral:tRNA from 1 species